ACUCCUACGGGAGGCAGCAGUGGGGAAUUUUGGACAAUGGGGGCAACCCUGAUCCAGCCAUGCCGCGUGAGUGAGGAAGGCCUUCGGGUUGUAAAGCUCUUUCGGCCGGAACGAAAUCGCGUACGUGAAUAACGUGCGUGGAUGACGGUACUGGAAGAAGAAGCACCGGCUAACUACGUGCCAGCAGCCGCGGUAAUACGUAUGGUGCGAGCGUUAAUCGGAAUUACUGGGCGUAAAGCGUGCGCAGGCGGUUCUGCAAGUCAGAUGUGAAAUCCCCGGGCUUAACCUGGGAACUGCGUUUGAAACUACGGAGCUAGAGUACGGCAGAGGGGGGUGGAAUUCCGCGUGUAGCAGUGAAAUGCGUAGAUAUGUGGAGGAACACCGAUGGCGAAGGCAGCCCCCUGGGCCGAUACGGACGCUCAGGCACGAAAGCGUGGGGAGCAAACAGGAUUAGAUACCCUGGUAGUCCACGCCCUAAACUAUGUCAACUAGUUGUCGGGAAAGCAAUUUCUUGGUAACGAAGCUAACGCGUGAAGUUGACCGCCUGGGGAGUACGGUCGCAAGAUUAAAACUCAAAUGAAUUGACGG
rnacentral:rRNA from 1 species